GAACGCUGGCGGCAUGCCUAACACAUGCAAGUCGAACGGCAGCAUGAUUCGUAGCAAUACAGAUUGGUGGCGAGUGGCGGACGGGUGAGUAACGCGUAGGGAUCUGCCCUGUAGAGUGGGACAACCCGGGGAAACCCGGGCUAAUACCGCAUAGUACUCUGAGGAGGAAAGGCUGGAGCAAUCCAGUCGCUAUGGGAGGAACCUGCGUCCGAUUAGUCAGCUGGUGAGGUAACGGCUCACCAGGACGAUGAUCGGUAGCUGGUCUGAGAGGAUGACCAGCCACACUGGGACUGAGACACGGCCCAGACUCCUACGGGAGGCAGCAGUGGGGAAUAUUGGACAAUGGGGGCAACCCUGAUCCAGCAAUGCCGCGUGUGUGAAGAAGGC
rnacentral:rRNA from 1 species